UCCUCAGUAGCUCAGUGGUAAAGCGGUCGGUUGUUAACCGAUUGGUCGUAGGUUCGAAUCCUACUUGGGGAG
rnacentral:tRNA from 1 species